rnacentral:rRNA from 1 species
GCGAACGCUGGCGGCAGGCCUAACACAUGCAAGUCGAACGGACCCUUCGGGGUUAGUGGCGGACGGGUGAGUAACACGUGGGAACGUGCCUUUAGGUUCGGAAUAGCUCCUGGAAACGGGUGGUAAUGCCGAAUGUGCCCUUCGGGGGAAAGAUUUAUCGCCUUUAGAGCGGCCCGCGUCUGAUUAGCUAGUUGGUUGGGGUAAUGGCCCACCAAGGCUACGAUCAGUAGCUG